GCAUCUGUUUGAUAUCAAAGGUCAGCUGGUACAGGAUGGACCCGCGUCUGAUUAGCUAGUUGGUGAGAUAAAAGCUCACCAAGGCGACGAUCAGUAGCCGACCUGAGAGGGUGAUCGGCCACAUUGGAACUGAGACACGGUCCAAACUCCUACGGGAGGCAGCAGUGGGGAAUAUUGCACAAUGGGAGAAAGCCUGAUGCAGCAACGCCGCGUGAGUGAUGAAGGUUUUCGGAUCGUAAAACUCUGUCCUCAAGGAAGAUAAUGACGGUACUUGAGGAGGAAGCCCCGGCUAACUACGUGCCAGCAGCCGCGGUAAUACGUAGGGGGCUAGCGUUAUCCGGAUUUACUGGGCGUAAAGGGUGCGUAGGCGGUCUUUCAAGUCAGAAGUUAAAUUCUACGGCUCAACCGUAGCCAGCUUUUGAAACUGGAAGACUUGAGUGCAGGAGAGGAGAGUAGAAUUCCUAGUGUAGCGGUGAAAUGCGUAGAUAUUAGGAGGAAUACCAGUAGCGAAGGCGGCUCUCUGGACUGUAACUGACGCUGAGGCACGAAAGCGUGGGGAGCGAACAGGAUUAGAUACCCUGGUAGUCCACGCCGUAAACGAUGAGUACUAGGUGUCGGGGGUUACCCCCCUCGGUGCCGCAGCUAACGCAUUAAGUACUCCGCCUGGGGAGUACGCUCGCAAGAGUGAAACUCAAGGAAUUGACGGGGACCCGCACAAGUAGCGGAGCAUGUGGUUUAAUUCGAAGCAACGCGAAGAACCUUACCUAAGCUUGACAUCCUGGUGACCUCUCCCUAAUCGGAGAUUUCCCUUCGGGGACACCAGUGACAGGUGGUGCAUGGUUGUCGUCAGCUCGUGCCGUGAGAUGUUGGGUUAAGUCCCGCAACGA
rnacentral:rRNA from 1 species